GUGCUCACUUCAGCAGCACAUACACUAAAAAUUGGAACAAUACAGACAAGAUUAGCAUGGCCCCUGCUCAACGAUGACACACAAAUCCAUGAAGCGUUCCAUAUUUCU